GGAGGAUGAUCCUCCUCUGGCUCGACUCGUCUUCUCUCAACCCACAGAGUACUUGCGUCUUUUCGACCAGGCGGCUGUUUGGGCUCAUAAAGUCAUAUUGGGGGAUUUGAAAGGUUCUGAAAAAUGAGUUAAGAAAGAGUUCAUUCAUGUUCGGAUUGACAUCAGUGGUUCUCCCCUUGAAUGUGCUGAUACAUUUCCAAGAAUUGGGUGCGUGAGAGUGAAGCAUAGAGGGAUUCUUCUUACUCUCAAAGGGACUGUUAUUCGCUUGGGGGCAAUCAAGAUGUAUGAAGGGGAGAGGUGGUAUUCAUGCCAGAAAUGCCA